CCCUUAGAUGUUCUGGGCCGCACACGCGCUACACUGAAGGAGGCAGCGUGUACUCCUGGAUCGAAAGAUUUGGGUAACCCGCGAAUCUCCUUCGUGCUAGGGAUUGAGGUUUGCAAUUAUCCUUCAUGAACGAGGAAUUCCCAGUAAGUGCAAGUCAUAAGCUUGCGCUGACUACGUCCCUGCCCUUUGUACACACCGCCCGUCGCUACUACCGAUUGAAUGAUUUAGCGAGGACUUCGGACUGGGACCGAUGCGGCUUUCGGGCUGCGUCGGUAUUCUGGAAAGAUGUCCAAACUGUAUCAUUUAGAGGAAGUAAAANUCGUANCA
rnacentral:rRNA from 1 species